rnacentral:rRNA from 1 species
AUUGAACGCUGGCGGCAGGCCUAACACAUGCAAGUCGAGCGGAUGAAGGGUGCUUGCUCCUGGAAUCAGCGGCGGACGGGUGAGUAAUGCCUAGGAAUCUGCCUGGUAGUAGGGGAUAACGUCCGGAAACGGGCGCUAAUACCGCAUACGUCCUGAGGGAGAAAGUGGGGGAGCUUCGGACCUCACGCUAUCAGAUGAGCCUAGGUCGGAUUAGCUAGUUGGGGGGGUAAAGGCCUACCAAGGCGACGAUCCGUAACUGGUCUGAGAGGAUGAUCAGUCAAGCUGGACCUGAGACACGGUCCAGACUCUUACGGGAGGCAGCAGUGGGCAAUAUUAGACAAUGGGCGAAAGCCUCAUCCAGCCAUGCCGCAUGUGUGAAGAAGAUCGUGGGAUUGUAAAGCCCUUUAAGUUGGGAGGAAGGGCAGUAAGUUAAUACCUUGCUAUUUUGACGUUACCAACAGAAUAAGCACCGCCUAACUUCGUG